ensembl:lncRNA
GACUUGAUGUUUGAAAUACUGACCGACAGCUCAGAUUUAACUGUCUGUAGUUCUGUUUUGAUGGAUGUUAAACUUUCACUCAAAGCCGCCAGGAGCUGGGUCUUUAAAAUAACCACUGUCUCGUUACAGAGUGAAAGUAGCAGUUCCUCCUGAAGGUCAGAGAUUGCAGCAUCUGAGGGCCUCUUCAAAAGAAGACGUAGUUGAUGAAGACGUUCUGGAGCAGGACCAGAAAGACCACGACCAAGCAGCCUUGAGAUCUUAGGCAGCGUCUCCCUCAGUUCUGCUGGACCAGCUCAGCUUCCCCUCAGAAGAAGUGCUGCCACCUGCCAGAUGAAGGAGCCUUUUGAGAUGCAGCUGGCAUCGUGAUUGGACUGUACUUUGGUCUGUUCCAAUCCAGCUUCAGCUCCAGAGACGGCAGGCGGGACGAGUCAACGGAGGCCUGGUGGACGAAGACCAAAGAACUACAGACUCUUCACAACCUGCUCAAACUCUUGGUACAGGACCUCACCACACGGGUCAAGAAGGUUUCUGUCUCAUUUCUACUCUGAAGCUCACCUUCUCCUGCUCAAACUGCUGACAAAUGUUUCUGCUGCUCUAAAGUCUGGUCUCCAGAACUUCCUAAAAACUCUCAAAGUCUCUUCUGCUGCAGGUUGCUUUGUAGAACUGUUCCAGAAAACCUCACUAAACCACAUGGAGGAGCCUCAAGAUAGUCGUCCAAAUGAAACCAUACAAAAACCAAACUAGCACAACCCAAACACUAAAGUCUCCUGCAGCCAACCAGAGAACCUCUGAGAACAGAGAAUCAGGACAGGAACUCUUACCUUCUGGACAACCAACACUGGUUCUCAAACAAGAAUACAGAAUGUGUCUGACCAGAAACCUCUGAAGACUCACUACAGCCAAGAUAAAGACACAACUCAGCUGUACCAAAUCCACUAAUCACUGCACACAUUAGCACCAUGUGCUAACUGUGGCUAAAGAACCACAUUUACCAAGACAACUAUCCAGUACAAAGCCCUAAAACACACCAAGAAACACAUUAAAGAUGAUUUUACUGCUGGAAGCUGCAAGCCAACGCCUAAACAAACUAAAGCAACGGAACCAAACCCAGUUCAGUGGUGAAGAGAAACAGAGGAAAUGUUUGUCUGCAGCUAAAUAAAGCAGGAAGACACUGAGCUGCUCAGGUGUUCCUGAUAACACCAAGCAGCCACCUGGACAGCCAAUAGGAACACAGCUUCCUGGAAGUCCAGAGGGCUGGCUUAGUCAAGGAAAUUUAGUUUAAAGUUGAAGCAGAAAGUUAACAAAGAAAGUUGAAAACCACCUUCUGAUACCUGAAAUCUCUGAGUUUUCACACAAAGAACGCCUGAACAUGUCAAACUGGUUCCAUAGUAGAACCAUCAUUGUAAAAACAUCAUAGUAUGGUGUGUUGCUCAAAAAACAUUAGGACCCAGCUGUCUAAGGUCACUGAGGAGCAACACAAAAACAGGACAAACGCUGGUUUCCAG